rnacentral:rRNA from 1 species
AUACGUAGGGUGCGAGCGUUGUCCGGAAUUACUGGGCGUAAAGAGCUCGUAGGUGGUUUGUCGCGUCGUCUGUGAAAUUCCGGGGCUUAACUCCGGGCGUGCAGGCGAUACGGGCAUAACUUGAGUACUGUAGGGGAGACUGGAAUUCCUGGUGUAGCGGUGAAAUGCGCAGAUAUCAGGAGGAACACCGGUGGCGAAGGCGGGUCUCAGGGCAGUAACUGACGCUGAGGGGCGAAAGCAUGGGUAGCGAACAGGAUUAGAACCCCUGGUAGUCCAUGCCGUAAACGGUGGGCGCUAGGUGUAGGGGUCUUCCACGACUUCUGUGCCGUAGCUAACGCAUUAAGCGCCCCGCCUGGGGAGUACGGCCGCAAGGCUAAAACUCAAAGGAAUUGACGGGG